rnacentral:rRNA from 1 species
CAGUAGCCGCGGGAAUACGUAGGUGGCAAGCGUUGUCCGGAAUUAUUGGGCGUAAAGGGCUCGCAGGCGGUUUCUAAGUCUGAUGUGAAAGCCCCCGGCUCAACCGGGGAGGGUCAUUGGAAACUGGGAAACUUGAGUGCAGAAGAGGAGAGUGGAAUUCCACGUGUAGCGGUGAAAUGCGUAGAGAUGUGGAGGAACACCAGUGGCGAAGGCGACUCUCUGGUCUGUAACUGACGCUGAGGAGCGAAAGCGUGGGGAGCGAACAGGAUUAGAUACCCCCGUAGUCCCUGUCUCUUAUACA